GACGAACGCUGGCGGCGUGCUUAACACAUGCAAGUCGAGCGAGAAUUAUCCCUUCGGGAGUGAUUCUAGCGGCGGACGGGUGAGUAACACGUGGGUAACCUGCCUCAUAGAGGGGAAUAGCCUUCCGAAAGGAAGAUUAAUACCGCAUAAGAUUGUAGUAUCGCAUGAUACAGCAAUUAAAGGAGCAAUCCGCUAUGAGAUGGACCCGCGUCGCAUUAGCUAGUUGGUGAGGUAACGGCUCACCAAGGCGACGAUGCGUAGCCGACCUGGGAGGUGGAUCGGCCACAUUGGGACUGAGACACGGCCCAGACUCCUACGGGAGGCAGCAGUGGGGAAUAUUGCACGAUGGGGGAAACCCUGAUGCAGCAACGCCGCGUGAGUGAUGACGGUCUUCGGAUUGUAAAACUCUGUCUUCAGGGACGAUAAUGACGGUACCUGAGGAGGAAGCCACGGCUAACUACGUGCCAGCCGCCGCAGUAACAC
rnacentral:rRNA from 1 species